GUUUUACCUCCUAAAAGCUAUAGUUUAAUUUUUUAGGAUUAUAUCUUCUUUAGGUUAUAUUCUCAAUGCCCUAGAGAUUAAAGUGGGAACAGGUUUGAAUAGCAUACACCAAAUUCUGACAACAUAGGUCAGACAAAGAGCUGCAGGAAAAGAAUUUUCAGGCUGGAGGUUUUUAUAAAAACAUUCCAUAAGAAGAGAGGAAAUAAUCAGAAUUUAUCUAUGAGCAUUUAUUCUUUACUCUCCCAGUUUAAUAUAGAAUACCUUUUUUAGAUCAAAACCAAAUUAAUAUAGAAUACUUUUUGUAGAUCAAAAAUGGCAAUAAUGCUUUUGGGAAGACAAACAUUCUUUGAUGUAAUCCCUUGCAAUAGACUAAACUACUGAAUUAGAACAAUCAGGAAAUAAUAACUGAUGUCCCACAAUAUCCCCAAAGAGGAAAAUUAGUGUAACUGGGUUCUCUUAACUGACACAUUACACUAAUGAGAAUACCUAUUUGCCAGGGGCCACUCAGGAUCUGUCAGCAGUGGUUUCAGAGAGCACAAGGGAGAACAGUAGCUGCAGCAGCAAGGUAGAAAAUGAGUGUGGAGCCGAAGUGCCAGACCACGAAACGGAGUCUUCCAGGUCUGCACCUGCUUCAGGGGCUGUUGACAGAGCCCCUGAUGGAUGUGUGGAGGAGUAGGUUCUGCCACUGGGUGACCUGUGUCAGAGUGGGAAGUCCUAGGAGGUGGAAAAGAGCAUCAUGCCUGGGCUGGUGAGGCUCACGAAGAGGCAAAAAUGGAGAAAUCACCUCUACUGGCUCCAUUCUCCAUACUGCUGGCGGUCUGGGACCUUAAGCCCCGCUGUGAUUCCAGGAUGAAGUCAGCCUAAUUCACAGGGUUCCGUAUGUUACUUCUUUUGCAGGUGUAACUGGAAGAAAGGAAGUGUGAAAUCAACAAGACGAAGAGAGAGUUUCACACUUCAAUCCUCAAAUCCUCGGCCUCUAUACCACAUAAUGCCUCUGGGUCAAAUCUCAGCAAACUGAUAAAUUGCCUUCCUUACUUCCAUGACUGGGCACCACUCUGUCCCUGCUCUUCUCAUUCAACUACAUACCACCUAAUAAGGAGAUGGGGAAUAAGCAAGGGGCCACCAGGAGGGUUCAUAGUAGGAGAGGAAAGGAGAAUUAGACAGUGGUGCAGAGAAGUGGCUGUGACCCUGAAGAAUUUUGCAUCUAUACUCUUAAGGAAAUUGGCAUAUCAUUUCUGUCAUCUGCCUAUGGGAGGAACUGGCUGAAAAUCACACAGCUAGAGGAGAGAAGUGACUCUCUUCCUGCUUCCAGAAUCUGAAGCUAUCUCCGGUGGUAGCUGCAGUGAUAAUAAAGCUGCAAUGGCAACAGUUCUGGAAGUAGUAAAAAUAUUGAUUUCAGCAGCAGCAGCAGCAUUGAGGAAUCCCCAUAAUGGAGGCUACAGGGGUAGCACUGGGAAUAAUUCAGGAAGUAAUGACAAUAUUCACUACAGCUGUAGCAGCUGAAGUGCGAGUCCUCAUGGUGGCAGCUUCAAAGACAGCAGUAAUGACUCAGCCCCAGAAAUGCAACUUCCUAGGCUCCUGCUUAAGAAGCUGAACUUGGCAUCUGAAGCCUUGAGGCACCAGCCACUGACCUCUGAGCAACAUUUUCACCUUACCAACUUAGAAGAAGCAGAGAUUUCUUGCAAUUACUAAUUUUUGCAAACCUGAUCUUCAAUCGUUUGAGCCACAGACGCUUGUAACUGAUUUCUCUAUGAAAUAUGAUAAUUAUAACUUGUUUUGUUAGCCCACGGAGAGUCUUAAUUUUUUCAUUAAUUGCAAUUGUGGGAAAAUUGGGAGAGAUCACAUAAAAAUCCAAUUUUCAGCCUUCUCUUGACAAUCUUUAGGGCUGGCAAUGCUGAUUCAGCUCCUUGCAAGGCAACAAUUGGCCAAUGCUGAGUAAUUGCUGCUCCCUUUAAACAAGACUGUCCUCCCAGUUCACCACAUUCCCCAUCCAAUCUGCUUCCAUUAUCAUACCUCCUGCCAGCCUUGCACACAUUUACAUUUGCCACAUCUACUAUAAAUGGUCAAAACAUAACAAAAUUUCAGAAAUAUUUAUUUUCUUCACUUACCAAAGCAAGAUGUAUUUUAUAAGUUACAUAAAGAUAAUUGACUUAAACUUGAGUAGUAAUAUUUAGAGUCAACUGUAUCUAUUAAAUGACAAAUAAAUAGACAUCAAAUAAACAUAGUUUUCAAAUUAAUUGUUUGGAAAUA
rnacentral:lncRNA from 1 species